GUUGUGGAGAGCUGUGACUAGGUUGGGUGGCUAGGACAAGCUUUUGUAGGCGAAAACGCCCCAGUCAAUGACUUGGGUUGUGAUGACAGGAGCUUAUUUUCUGAACAACCCGAUGUAUUUUUCGAGGGUAUUGCCUUUUUUCAGGUGAUCUAUGAUGGAGAAGAGUCCUUGACCAAGUUUUUCAGCCUAUCGCUUCAAGAAAAGGUACACUCUGUGUUAUUUAAGACACACGCCAGAGUUCCAACUGACCAAGAAAACGUUCCCUCAGUUUGGAAGGUUUUUCUUGGUUGUGCUGGAAAAACCAAGAAAAUCCUGCCAACGGAGGGAACGUUUUCUUGGUUUAAGUUUACUAUCGGUUCAAGAAAAGGUAAUGCACGCCACUUUCUCAGCAUAGACCACACCGGAGUUCCAACUGACUGAGAAAUCCAAGAGAACGUUCCCUCAGUCGGAAGGUUUUUCUUG